UGUCAGCCCCAUCUGAACUUGAAACAAUCCCUGUCUCCUUUGUUUACAAUGUGUCUAGCAAUAAAUCUGAUAGGCACUGUAGCUACCCUAUUCCAGGGCCCCAGGCUCUGCCUAUUUACCAACUGAUUGUUUCGUUGGCUUCUGGUGUUGGCUUGGAUUUCAGCCAAAGAAGGCCCAACUACAGUGGAAAACAAAAAAGUCUGGGUAGUCAGGGUGGAGGAGGCUGUCCUCAGCCCACAGCCCUGAAGCAAACAGUCCAGUUUCCUUUGUCCAGCACACCCGCUGGUUUGGAUGUUGGUCUGGUUGUGUCAGUAAACAGACCUGCCCGGGUUAGUUUUCCUGAUAAGGUCAUGUGUGUUCCAAGUUUCCUAGAACCAAAGGGACAGCCAUAGAAGAGCUAGGGCCUGACCAAUCAUAAAACCCCAGGCAUCCAUUUCCUUUUAAAAAGUACUAAAAUAUCUUGUUUCUGCUUUGGGAAGAAAAAUAUUGUCUUGACUCCUCUGAAUUAUGCGUGAAACUCUUAGGGUUGCUGUUUUAAAAAACAGGGUGACAAAUCCUAAGCCAGUGGGGAGAAAUCAGAGGCCAGACAUGACCCGUCAGCGAGGUAUCUGCUCUGCAAACCGGAAAAGACAAUGGAGACUUCACUAGAAGGCAGCACUGGCUGAUAUUUACUAUCUCCCUGGAGGAUGUUCAGGAGGGAGCAGGUGGGGAAUGGCUCUGUAGUCAGAGGAGGCUGCAUUUGAUCCCGAUACUGCCGCCUGCCUGUGCAAGUCAUUUUAUAUCUCCAACCUCGGAUUCCCUUAUCUGUAAAAUGCCAAGCACCAUAGACUGAGUGAUUUAAACAACAGUUUAGAUCUGUGAUCAAUAUGCCGGCAGGGCUGGUUUCUCCCGAGGCCUCUCUCCUUGUCGUCUUGCAGGUACCAUCUUCCUCCCUGUGUCCUCAUGUCGCCGUCCCUUUGUGUGUGUCUGUGUGCUAAUAUCCUCUUCUUCUAGGGACACCAGUCAUAUUGGAUGAGGGCCCACACCAAUGGUGCCAUCUCAACCUACCUGCCUCUUUAAAAACACUGUUUCCAAGAGGGUCGUAUUCCUGGAUAUUGGGGGUCAGGACUUCAACGUAUGGAUUUUGGGAAGACACAGUUAAUUCAGCCUAUAACCAUGUGGCUAAUGCAACUUGUAGAGAAUAUUCUAUUAUGCUUAUGCUGUGUGAGUAUGUAUUAGGUAUGCACAACAAUAUAUAGUAGGUAUUGAGAAUUAUACCUGAUGAUCAAAUUUCUGUUCUAUUUUUAGAUGUUUAUUGUUUGGACACACACAAAAAUUUUGCCUAAGUGCCCAUAGCUUAAUAAGAAUACUUACACUGUGAGACCAAACACAGAUGUUCAUAAAAGGGCACGUAUGUCUAACUUUUUUUAAAGAUAUAGGAACUUUUUUUAAAGAUAUAGGAAUAUUUUAAUGUGAUUUGGGGGGAGAUUAUUUCAGGUAUGCUUGGGAACAAUGACGGCAUUCUCAAAAGAAGCGAUAACUAGUGAAGGUCAGGAGAGAAAGCUCCUGAACUAAGAAAAAGUAAGAUAAAUUACUUAGAGGUUGUGAUCAAACGGGCUGACCAACCCAAAUUCAGUUGCAGUUUGACUGCUUGUUAAUUGUGUAAUUUCAACCCUCAGUUAGUAUCAGCUCCCCUCCCUUGACUAGUGUGGUACCAUGCUCCAGAGCUCAUACUUCAAAUAUUAUGCUUAUGACUUUUGGAAAUAAUACAAUUUUAUAAAUGGAAAAUUAAACAGUUUUGGUUUUUUUCCCAGAGAAUCAAGGUACAAAGUAAAUGAUCAAUAAAUAUUGGAUGGAUGAGUGGAUCAAUGGAGAGAUGGGUUGAUCAAUCAGUGGAUCAAUAGGAAAGCAAAAUAAGACAAGAACACACGAGGAUGCUCCUCCAAGUCUCACUUGACCUAAACUCUCACCAAAUACUGACAUGGCUGGUGAAGCCACAGGGGGCCUCAGCCCUCCUUCGCCCCUCAUGUGCCACCUCCAGUGUAGGUGCUGUAGAAAAGAUGCUAUGAACAGUUAUAUUUCUGUUUCGAAGCUGUAUGCAGUGCCUUUUGAGCCCUCCGCCACAUAGCUGUGGGACAUGGGUUGGCAUGGCCACCAGCUCUGGUGAGAUUCUCAUUUCCUCUCCAAACCUGCUUCUCCAUGUAGCAAAAGAUGCAGUUUCUCCUGCAGUGAGCAUCCAGGGCCACCAUAGUGGACAUUCCCAGGUUACAUCCUGGCAGCGCUGGUCACAGUGCUCUACAUCCACGCUGUUCCUCCCAGUUCACAUCUUCGUCUUUCGGGUUCAAGGCAAUUUCCUUAUCCAGUUGAUAAAGGCAGUCCUGGCCUUUAAAGAGACUCAGCUAUUUCUACUAGGCGAACCGACAGCUGUGCAUAACCUUGUUGUGCAGCCAACCUCUAAGAGCCCCAGGGAGCCUGCCUCCUGAAAUUCACAUUCUUCUAACUACCACACAGAAAGGACGUUCACACAGAUGGUGGAGAGGCACGCACAAAGCCCGAAACAGAGGCCUCCUGCCAACAGCGGUCAAGGGAGUAAUCCUGAAGUCAAUCAAGCCUGCAGGUGACGCAGCUCCAGCUGACAUCUUGAGGCAAUCUUAGGAGUCAGAACCAAACCCUGACUGCUCCCUACUUCCUAACCACAGAAACUGGGAGAUAAUAAAUAUUUGCUGUUUUAAGCCACUAA